rnacentral:rRNA from 1 species
GGGAUUGCCUCAGUAACGGCGAGUGAAGCGGCAACAGCUCAAAUUUGAAAUCUGGCUCUUUCAGGGUCCGAGUUGUAAUUUGUAGAAGAUGCUUUGGGUGUGGCUCCGGUCUAAGUUCCUUGGAACAGGACGUCAUAGAGGGUGAGAAUCCCGUACGUGACUGGGUGCCUUCGCUCGUGUAAAGCUCUUUCGACGAGUCGAGUUGUUUGGGAAUGCAGCUCAAAAUGGGUGGUAAAUUUCAUCUAAAGCUAAAUAUUGGCCAGAGACCGAUAGCGCACAAGUAGAGUGAUCGAAAGAUGAAAAGCACUUUGGAAAGAGAGUUAAACAGUACGUGAAAUUGUUGAAAGGGAAGCGCUUGCAACCAGACUUGCGCGCUGUUGAUCAUCCGAGCUUUUGCCCGGUGCACUCGGCAGCGCUCAGGCCAGCAUCGGUUUUGGUGGGCGGAUAAAGGCCUUGGGAAUGUAGCUCUCUUCGGGGAGUAUUAUAGCCCUCGGUGCAAUGCGCCCUACCGGGACCGAGGACCGCGCUUCGGCUAGGAUGCUGGCGUAAUGGUUGUAAGCGACCCGUCUUGAAACACGGACCAAGGAGUCUAACAUCUAUGCGAGUGUUUGGGUGUCAAACCCAUACGCGUAAUGAAAGUGAACGGAGGUGAGAACCCUUAAGGGUGCAUCAUCGACCGAUCCUGAUGUCUUCGGAUGGAUUUGAGUAAGAGCAUAGCUGUUGGGACCCGAAAGAUGGUGAACUAUGCCUGAAUAGGGUGAAGCCAGAGGAAACUCUGGUGGAGGCUCGCAGCGGUUCUGACGUGCAAAUCGAUCGUCAAAUUUGGGUAUAGGGGCGAAAGACUAAUCGAACCAUUGGUAAA